CGUUUUACCUCGUUUCCUUAGCCCGCCAUGAGAAUGACGUUUCUGAAGAGCUCGAUGUCAAAAUUGUUAUCGCCAUAUUUUUCACUGUUCAGAAGACCACACGAUUUGCAGCACGAACUCAUCGAUUUGAUUUAAGUACCGUUGCCGAAACCCCAUCAGCGAAAUGAACGCUCCACGUCUCGCCACCGCAGCCCGAACUGUUUUCAUGCAGAAACGCGGAGUGGGCUCGGUAGCCGAAGGAAUGCCCCAAGUUCGUGUUUCCUUGGGUGAGAAAUUCGCACACGGUUUUGCUUUCGUGUGUGGCGUUCUGGCCUAUCCAGCCUGGGUUGUAACGCAUGUCCGGGAGUACAGGGGUAUCAAGUAGAAAAUUCAAUCGUGUGUUUCGCCGAUAGGCCGGACGCUCCCUGCUUCGAAGGUUAUAUGUAGCUGGAUGAUUAAAGCGUCUCAGGAGUAUCGAACGUUACGUUAAGCUAGAAAAGUGAAAAUUAAAGUUUCAUUGAAGUGAUCAAAUCUAAUAACAA